AAAUUGAAGAGUUUGAUCAUGGCUCAGAUUGAACGCUGGCGGCAGGCCUAACACAUGCAAGUCGAACGGUAACAGGAAGCAGCUUGCUGCUUUGCUGACGAGUGGCGGACGGGUGAGUAAUGUCUGGGAAACUGCCUGAUGGAGGGGGAUAACUACUGGAAACGGUGGCUAAUACCGCAUAACGUCGCAAGACCAAAGAGGGGGACCUUCGGGCCUCUUGCCAUCAGAUGUGCCCAGAUGGGAUUAGCUUGUUGGUGAGGUAACGGCUCACCAAGGCGACGAUCCCUAGCUGGUCUGAGAGGAUGACCAGCCACACUGGAACUGAGACACGGUCCAGACUCCUACGGGAGGCAGCAGUGGGGAAUAUUGCACAAUGGGCGCAAGCCUGAUGCAGCCAUGCCGCGUGUAUGAAGAAGGCCUUCGGGUUGUAAAGUACUUUCAGCGGGGAGGAAGGUGUUGUGGUUAAUAACCACAGCAAUUGACGUUACCCGCAGAAGAAGCACCGGCUAACUCCGUGCCAGCAGCCGCGGUAAUACGGAGGGUGCAAGCGUUAAUCGGAAUUACUGGGCGUAAAGCGCACGCAGGCGGUCUGUCAAGUCGGAUGUGAAAUCCCCGGGCUCAACCUGGGAACUGCAUUCGAAACUGGCAGGCUUGAGUCUUGUAGAGGGGGGUAGAAUUCCAGGUGUAGCGGUGAAAUGCGUAGAGAUCUGGAGGAAUACCGGUGGCGAAGGCGGCCCCCUGGACAAAGACUGACGCUCAGGUGCGAAAGCGUGGGGAGCAAACAGGAUUAGAUACCCUGGUAGUCCACGCCGUAAACGAUGUCUACUUGGAGGUUGUGCCCUUGAGGCGUGGCUUCCGGAGCUAACGCGUUAAGUAGACCGCCUGGGGAGUACGGCCGCAAGGUUAAAACUCAAAUGAAUUGACGGGGGCCCGCACAAGCGGUGGAGCAUGUGGUUUAAUUCGAUGCAACGCGAAGAACCUUACCUGGUCUUGACAUCCACGGAAGAAUUCAGAGAUGGAUUUGUGCCUUCGGGAACCGUGAGACAGGUGCUGCAUGGCUGUCGUCAGCUCGUGUUGUGAAAUGUUGGGUUAAGUCCCGCAACGAGCGCAACCCUUAUCCUUUGUUGCCAGCGGUAGGCCGGGAACUCAAAGGAGACUGCCAGUGAUAAACUGGAGGAAGGUGGGGAUGACGUCAAGUCAUCAUGGCCCUUACGACCAGGGCUACACACGUGCUACAAUGGCGCAUACAAAGAGAAGCGACCUCGCGAGAGCAAGCGGACCUCAUAAAGUGCGUCGUAGUCCGGAUUGGAGUCUGCAACUCGACUCCAUGAAGUCGGAAUCGCUAGUAAUCGUGGAUCAGAAUGCCACGGUGAAUACGUUCCCGGGCCUUGUACACACCGCCCGUCACACCAUGGGAGUGGGUUGCAAAAGAAGUAGGUAGCUUAACCUUCGGGAGGGCGCUUACCACUUUGUGAUUCAUGACUGGGGUGAAGUCGUAACAAGGUAACCGUAGGGGAACCUGCGGUUGGAUCACCUCCUUACCUUAAAGAA
rnacentral:rRNA from 1 species